AUAAAUUGAGCGGUUUCGUCUUGCUUUUGUCCGCUUUCUAGGGUUAGGGUUUCGGCAGCCAUGGCGACGGAGCAGCAGAAGCAGGGAGGAGCAGGAGGCGCGAAGAGGAAGCCGGUGUUCACGAAGGUGGAUCAGCUGAAGCCCGGAACCAGCGGCCACACCCUCACGGCCAAGGUGCUCACCUCCGAGACCGUCCUUCACAAGGGCCGCGCCGGUGCCGCCGCCGUCCACCUCCACCCGACCACGAUCGCAGAGUGCCUCAUUGGCGACGAGACGGGCACCAUUCUCUUCACCGCCCGCAACGAACAGGUUGAUGUGAUGAAACCGGGCACCACAGUCACCCUCCGCAAUGCAAAGAUUGAUAUGUUCAAGGGGUCAAUGAGACUGGCCGUCGACAAGUGGGGGCGCAUCGAGGUCACCGGGCCUGCUAAUUUCACGGUAAAAGAGGACAACAACUUAUCACGGUAAAAGAGGACAACAACUUAUCCCUCAUCGAGUACGAGCUGGUGAAUGUGGCGGACGAGUGACGGGUGCACCCUAUCAGAUGGUCGGUCACAUUUGACCGACCGGAGCCACCGGUUCUACGUCGUCAUCCGGUGAUAGAUUUGAGUGUGCAGGGAGGAGGGUAUGGAGGCAAGUAGUUUGAGGGAGGUAGUCAGGCCAUGUAAACCUUGUAAUCUGUCAGGGCUAAAGCUUUAAGAUUUUCACUGGAUAUUAUUGUCUGAGGCACAGAUUUGGAACUCAGAAAACUGAUUGACACUUUCACAUCUUCUAUCCAGAUACUUCAAAUUAAUUUC